rnacentral:rRNA from 1 species
AGCCAUGCCGCGUGCAGGAGAAGGCCUUCUGGUUGUAACUGCUUUUGCCCGGAAAUAAAACUUCCUUGCGGGGGAAAUUGUGGGUACCUGGUGAAUAAACCACGGCUAAUUACCUGCCGGUGCCCCCGGUAAUACCUAGGUGGCAAGCGUUGUCCGGAUUUAUUGGGUUUAAAGGGUGCGUAGGCGGCCUCUUAAGUCAGUGGUGAAAUAAUGCAGCUUAACCGGCAAGGUGGCAUUGAUACUGAAGGACUUGAAUACUGAUGAGGUAAGCGGAAUUGACGGUGUAACGGUGAAAUGCUUAAAUAUCGUCCAGAACACCUAUAGCGAAGGCAGCUUACUAAGGUGUAACUGACGCUGAAGCACGAAAGUGUGGGGAUCAAACAGGAUUAAAUACCCUGGUAGA